UUUGGCAUAAUUUGAGCAGAAAAUUCGUGAAACUGUAGUCUAUAAUGUUGUUUUUCAACACACGUUUACAUUCAUGGAGGCUGCCAUUUUUUUCUACCAGACUAUAUAUAUAACCGCUGAUUUGAUUGGAUAACUCUAUUUCCAGGAUUUCCGAUCGGCCAAUCAGAUAGUCGUUAUCAUUAAUACACGGAAUGUGUUCAAAUUUGAAACUAAAAAUAUUGUACGAGUAUGUAUCCUGUCCAGCAUUGACCAGCUGUGGUUACAUUAAUCAUGUUAAUAAUAAUUAAUACUCAACAACCUUCGAUAAAUAAAGAAAUAGACAUUAAAGGCAGAACAUUUAGGUAUGACAUUAGCUGUUGAACCAAGAAUUUACGAUGAGACAAUGUGCUGAUGUAGGGCAGACGUACAGCAGAUACAGGUUGUCCAUAUAUUAAAAGGGAUUGAUCAUGGUGAAGGUACAAAGCUGCAAAAAUGAUGACUGUGCAUCGAUCAAUAUCCACUCAAUAAUAUGAAAACACGAUGAAAACAAACGAACCAGCAGCAGAAAAGAAAUUUGAGUAUAAGAUUAUUGAAAGAUUAAUCAAUGAAGACUUAAUGGAACAGGAUUGGAAUGCAGAAACUUUGGACUUAAUUCAUGAAUAAUAUCAAUGGAUGAUGAAGAAAACUGACCAAACUGACAAAGUAUUUCGUAUGCAUGUAAACUGGACAUUUUUGUUUGUUUAAUGCACAAUAAACAAAUUUGUAAAAUUGAAAAUUAAAACCAUUUGUGAAAGAUUUCAAGAGGACCAAAAGUUACCAUGGACUUAUGAAUGAUUUAACCAGAAAAAUGAUUUACAUGUACAAUUAAGUAAAUACAUCUUUGACUAAAAAAUGAUAAUUUAUCAACGUUAAUAUUUUAAAGAGGUUGAUCUUUUCGUUUAAAAGGUCUUAAAUGUGGAUGAUGUAUAAACUGUUGUAAUUUCUUUAAUUGUUGACUUGCAUUAAAAUGGUUAUUGUCUUA